AAUUAUAAUAACAAAGAAUGUAAAACUCGCGCUCUUUUUUGAAAAUCGAAUGUUAAAAUUCUUAUAUUAAUUAAAAAUAUCAUUUUAAUGAGAAUCAUAGUUAAAUUAUAAUU
rnacentral:rRNA from 1 species